AUAAAUGCACGCGUCCCCGCCCGAGAGGGAGGGUCGGCGCUGGUUCGCAUGUAUUAGCUCUGGAAUUGCCACAGUUAUCCAAUUAGAUCGGAAGAGG